CCUACGGGAGGCAGCAGUCGAGAAUCAUUCACAAUGGGGGAAACCCUGAUGGUGCGACGCCGCGUGGGGGAAUGAAAGUCUUCGGAUUGUAAACCCCUGUCAUGUGGGAGCAAAUUAAAAAGAUAGUACCACAAGAGGAAGAGACGGCUAACUCUGUGCCAGCAGCCGCGGUAAUACAGAGGUCUCAAGCGUUGUUCGGAAUCACUGGGCGUAAAGCGUGCGUAGGCUGUUUCGUAAGUCGUGUGUGAAAGGCGCGGGCUCAACCCGCGGACGGCACAUGAUACUGCGAGACUAGAGUAAUGGAGGGGGAACCGGAAUUCUCGGUGUAGCAGUGAAAUGCGGAGAUAUCGAGAGGAACACUCGUGGCGAAGGCGGGUUCCUGGACAUUAACUGACGCUGAGGCACGAAGGCCAGGGGAGCGAAAGGGAUUAGAUACCCCUGUAGUC
rnacentral:rRNA from 1 species